AGACGGAGGGGGCUAGCGUUAUUCGGAAUUACUGGGCGUAAAGGGCGCGUAGGCGGAUUAGUAAGUUGGGAGUGAAAGCCCGGGGCUUAACCUCGGAACUGCUUUCAAAACUGCUAGUCUUGAGUGAAUUAGGGGGUGAUGGAAUUCCUAGUGUAGAGGUGGAAUUCUUAGAUAUUAGGAGGAACACCGGUGGCGAAGGCGGUCACCUGGACUUCAACUGACGCUGAGGCGCGAAAGCGUGGGGAGCAAACAGAAUUAGAAACCCUAGUAGUCC
rnacentral:rRNA from 1 species